GGGGCGGUGACGCGCGUCCGGGGGCGGGGCGGCCGGGGCGUUCCCAUGGCUACGCGGGACGGCAUGGAGGAGGAGGCGGUGGCAGCGGCCCUCGGGCGGCUCGGGGAUCAGGACUAGUUAACAACUGACUUGAUGGCAGAAGGGCUGGAGAAGCAUGAAGGCUGUGCACUGGUGCACGGGUAGCACACAGCCUCCGAUAGUAACUACACCCCUAAAGCUGUAGAUGCAUGAUCCAAAGCUUCAGAUGGCUUCCAGGGCCCUGGUGGUGCUUGGCAGGGUGGUACCUGCACUGAACACAGCUGGGUUUGCAUGGAAGGGGCUACACAAGCGUUUCCUGUUGUCAAAAAUGAAGGAUCAGCGGUAGGUGCACAACAUGCACUCCACCUCUCACCCAUACCCAUACCCGGGUGAUCUUCAGCAUAUGAAGUUUGUUUACAAAGGUCACUGUUGAGGGCAGGGAGGAGUUGGCUACAACCAAGGCCCUUGUCUGUCAGGAUUCAGGAGCACCUCUGUGUCGUGAUCCAUCCUGAGGGGGCAGGGGAAGGAUCCUCACACUCGCCUCCCAGACACCUUAUACUCUGAGGAAAGACUAUCAUAACACAAUGUUUAAAUAAGCAUUUAAUUAGGAUUCUAUUAGUAUUAAUAUUGCUUUCAAUUCCAAAAAAGUUAAUUUCCACUUCUUUGCAGAUAUUUCAAAGUACAAUAUUAACUUCAUACAAAAUGAGCAAUUAAGCAAACACCAUUAUUUCACAUUUUACAUUCUUCAAAAAAUACAAAUUCAUAUUUACUCUUUUUUGGGUUUUGGAGAUGCUCUUCCUUUGGAAGUACUGUACCUGUAACUAACAUAUUCACAUUGCUCAAUGUAAGCACAUUUGUUCCCAUGUCUCAUAGUUAAAUAAAUUCCUUUAAUACCAUA